rnacentral:lncRNA from 1 species
AUGUCCACAAAACAAGAACAAAAGUCCCCGACCAGGAAAACAACAGAGUCCAGGGAGUCCCUCACGGAGGGUGGGGACGCGGCGAGAUCCUGCUCAACCGCCGCUGAGGCAGGAGGGCACCCCCAGCGCCCUUGGGCUGGGCCAGCGUCCACGGGGACCCCCCCGAACCUGGAGACCGAGGGGUCGAGGUGGACGUCGCCGCAGGAGGCAGCGCCACCCAAACGGCCGGAAGCACCGAGGGCGAGGCCACCAGUCCAGCUGCCGAAGCGAGAACAGACGUGGCAACGCGGUCAGCGCCGGGCCGCCAGGAACCGAUGCAGGUGCGGCCGAGCCGCCAGGAACCGAUGCAGGUGCGGCCGAGCCGCCAGGAACCGAUGCAGGUGCGGCCGAGCCGCCAGGAACCGAUGCAGGUGCGGCCGAGCCGCCAGGAACCGAUGCAGGUGCGGCCGAGCCGCCAGGAACCGAUGCAGGUGCGGCCGAGCCGCCAGGAACCGAUGCAGGUGCGGCCGAGCCGCCAGGAACCGAUGCAGGUGCGGCCGAGCCGCCAGGAACCGAUGCAGGUGCGACCCCCUCCUGGAGGUCCGCCGGGACUGCGGCGGGCGCGACCCCCUCCUGGAGGUCCGCCGGGACUGCGGCGGGCGCGACCCCCUCCUGGAGGUCCGCCGGGACUGCGGCGGGCGCGACCCCCUCCUGGAGGUGCGCGGGGACUGCCACCCCGAGACUGACAGGGACAGGAACUGGAACGGCCUCGACAUGGCCGACAGGGACAGGAACUGGAACGGCCGCGACAUGGCCGACAGGGACAGGAACUGGAACGGCCGCGACAUGGCCGACAGGGACAGGAACUGGAACGGCCGCGACAUGGCCGACAGGAACGGCCGCGACAUGGCCGACAGGAACGGCCGCAACAUGGCCGACAGGAACGGCCGCAACAUGGCCGACAGGAACGGCCGCAACAUGGCCGACAGGAACGGCCGCAACAUGGCCGACAGGAACGGCCGCAACAUGGCCGACAGGAACGGCCGCAACAUGGCCGACAGGAACGGCCGCAACAUGGCCGACAGGAACGGCCGCAACAUGGCCGACAGGAACGGCCGCAACAUGGCCGACAGGAACGGCCGCAACAUGGCCGACAGGAACGGCCGCAACAUGGCCGACAGGAACGGCCGCAACAUGGCCGACAGGAACGGCCGCAACAUGGCCGACAGGAACUGGGACGGCGUCCCCUCCGGAGCCGGCAUGACUGCUUACAGCUGCCGAGCUCGACGGAGGAGACGUCGGGCCUGA